GAAAUGCGAUAAGUAGUGUGAAUUGCAGAAUUCAGUGAAUCAUCGAAUCUUUGAACGCACAUUGCGCCCCUUGGUAUUCCAUGGGGCAUGCCUGUUCGAGCGUCAUCUACACCCUCAAGCUCUGCUUGGUGUUGGGCGUCUGUCCCGCCCCCGCGCGUGGACUCGCCCCAAAUCCAUUGGCAGCGUUCCUUGCCCCAUCUCGCGCAGCACAUUGCGCUUCUCGAGGGCGGCUCCGGGACGCGAUCCAGCAAGAUGACCACCGUCUUUGACCUCGGAUCAGGUAGGGAUACCCGCUGAACUUAAGC
rnacentral:misc_RNA from 1 species